GUCAGGGGUGACACAUGUCAUUUUGCAUCAUAUUGCAUUUAUUGCUUGUGAUUGUUGUAUAUUGGUUGUUGCAUUUUGGUAUUUGCAUAUGAUUGACAUGGCAUACAGGAGACAUGAGGUAUUUGGUCUGACGAUCGUAUGUUCCGGAUAGGAGGCCCUAGUAGCAGGUAGAUUUUGGACUCGCUUGGAGUAUUCUGUCUGCCGGUUCCCACGUCACAUCCGAAGACUUGUUUUUGAUUUUCAUUUGUACUUUAUUUGGUAUAUGUUUUUGGUUUACUUAUCAAUGUAAAUUUAUAUUUUGGUUUCGGAGUGUUGUUAUUUGGUAUUUUGUGUUGUUUAUUGUGUUGUGUAAACCUAGCCGACUAACAGUCCUUGUUUUUUGUUUGUGAAGAUUUCUAUCGUAUUUCCACUGUAUUUCUUCUUUUUA